rnacentral:rRNA from 1 species
AUUGAACGCUGGCGGCAUGCCUUACACAUGCAAGUCGAACGGUAACAGGUCUUCGGAUGCUGACGAGUGGCGAACGGGUGAGUAAUACAUCGGAACGUGCCUAGUAGUGGGGGAUAACUACUCGAAAGAGUGGCUAAUACCGCAUGAGAUCUACGGAUGAAAGCAGGGGAUCGCAAGACCUUGUGCUACUAGAGCGGCCGAUGGCAGAUUAGGUAGUGGGUGGGAUAAAAGCUUACCAAGCCGACGAUCUGUAGCUGGUCUGAGAGGACGAUCAGCCACACUGGGACUGAGACACGGCCCAGACUCCUACGGGAGGCAGCAGUGGGGAAUUUUGGACAAUGGGCGAAAGCCUGAUCCAGCAAUGCCGCGUGCAGGAUGAAGGCCUCCGGGUUGUAAACUGCUUCUGUACGGAACGAAAAGCCCUGGGUUAAUACCCUGGGGUCAUGACGGUACCGUAAGAAUAAGCACCGGCUAACUACGUGCCAGCCGCCGCCGUAA